UACAGAGGUCUCAAGCGUUGUUCGGAUUCAUUGGGCGUAAAGGGUGCGUAGGCGGCGCGGUAAGUCUGGUGUGAAAGCCCGGGGCUCAACUCCGGAAGUGCAUCGGAAACUAGCCGACUGGAGCGCGAUAGAGGAGGGUGGAAUUCCUGGUGUAGCGGUGAAAUGCGUAGAUAUCAGGAGGAACACCGGCGGCGAAGGCGGCCCUCUGGAUCGUUGCUGACGCUGAGACGCGAAAGCGUGGGGAGCAAACAGG
rnacentral:rRNA from 1 species